rnacentral:lncRNA from 1 species
AUCAAACCUAAAUAUAUAAAGGAACUACUGCACCUAUGCAGUGCCAAAUGGAAAUGCUAGGGGGAUCAGAGCCGUGAGGAUUUGGUGACCUGCUCACUCACAGACAGAACAGAAGAUAAGCACAUUCAAAAGUUAUUCCCAUGUUGACACUCUUCUUUCUCAUGGGCAGUUGACUCAGGUCCUAUCUUCACAGGGUUUACUGGACCAUGUCAUUUGAAUGCUACCCCCAUACCCACACCACCACUUGAUAUGGCCCAAAGCAAAAUCAGCCUCUUUCAUCAAAACCAUUUCCUUCUUCAUCUCUGACAUGGAGCCAUUAUGCACGUCAACCAGGUGUGAAACUACAUAACCAUAUUUAUCUAACCCUUCUUCCUCAC